AGUGUUACAUUGGCUCAACAUU
rnacentral:miRNA from 1 species